rnacentral:rRNA from 1 species
AGAGUUUGAUCAUGGCUCAGAACGAACGCUGGCGGCGUGCUUAACACAUGCAAGUCGAACGUGAUCCAGAGCUUGCUCUGGUGAAAGUGGCGCACGGGUGAGUAACGCGUGGAUAACCUGCCCUGGUAUCUGGGAUAACAUCUCGAAAGGGGUGCUAAUACCGGAUAAGCCUACGGACUCCUCGGAGUCUGCAGGAUAAGGAGGCCUCUAUUUAUAAGCUUCCGUAUCAUGAUGGGUCCGCGUACCAUUAGCUAGUUGGUGGGGUAAUGGCCUACCAAGGCGACGAUGGUUAGCUGGUCUGAGAGGAUGAUCAGCCACACUGGAACUGAGACACGGUCCAGACUCCUACGGGAGGCAGCAGUGGGGAAUUUUGCGCAAUGGGGGAAACCCUGACGCAGCAACGCCGCGUGAGUGAUGAAGGCUUUCGGGUCGCAAAGCUCUGUCAGAGGGGAAGAAAUGAGUCUGGCUAAUAUCCAGAUUUCUUGACGGUACCCUCAAAGGAAGCACCGGCUAACUCCGUGCCAGCCGCCGCGGUAAUUC